AGUGAACGCUGGCGGUAGGCCUAACACAUGCAAGUCGAACGGCAGCACAGUAAGAGCUUGCUCUUACGGGUGGCGAGUGGCGGACGGGUGAGGAAUACAUCGGAAUCUACUUUUUCGUGGGGGAUAACGUAGGGAAACUUACGCUAAUACCGCAUACGACCUACGGGUGAAAGCAGGGGAUCUUCGGACCUUGCGCGAUUGAAUGAGCCGAUGUCGGAUUAGCUAGUUGGCGGGGUAAAGGCCCACCAAGGCGACGAUCCGUAGCUGGUCUGAGAGGAUGAUCAGCAACACUGGAACUGAGACACGGUCCAGACUCCUACGGGAGGCAGCAGUGGGGAAUAUUGGACAAGGGGCGCAAGCCUGAUCCAGCCAUACCGCGUGGGUGAAGAAGGCCUUCGGGUUGUAAAGCCCUUUUGUUGGGAAAGAAAAGCAGCAGGUUAAUACCCCGCUGUUCUGACGGUACCCGAAGAAUAAGCACCGGCUAACUUCGU
rnacentral:rRNA from 1 species